rnacentral:rRNA from 1 species
UACAGAGGGGGCGAGCGUUGUUCGGAAUUACUGGGCGUAAAGGGCGCGUAGGCGGCCAACUAAGUCAGACGUGAAAUCCCUCGGCUCAACCGGGGAACUGCGUCUGAUACUGGAUGGCUUGAAUUCGGGAGAGGGGUGCGGAAUUCCAGGUGUAGCGGUGAAAUGCGUAGAUAUCUGGAGGAACACCAGCGGCGAAGGCGGUGCUCUGGGCCGGAACUGACGCUGAGGAGCGAAAGCGUGGGUAGCGAACAGG